AUGUCAUAAUCCAAAGGUGCUUGCAGUCACCCUGUGCUUGGUUAACCAAGUCCAGCCCAUCACCAGCUAACCAACAACACUCCAGGACACUUCUUGCUUAAUGUGGACCACAGGUAGAGCUGUCUGUGUAGCGGUGUAGAAUGCAUGGUGUGGAGGGCAAAGAAUGGACAUCCCUCAGAAGCAACAGCUCCACUGCAGAGGGCAGCUGCUCACUCUCUGCUUGGUAAAGGCCCUGGUUCUGAGCAGGGGACAGGCCGCGGGAGAACAGACUGUAUCCUCUCCCAAGGGGUUCUCUUCCAUAGGCGUGAAGCUUAGCCACUUCAUGAAAUGAAAACAAAUAGUUUUGA